rnacentral:rRNA from 1 species
AACGUAGGAGGCAAGCGUUAUCCGGAGUUACUGGGCGUAAAGCGUGCGUAGGCGGAUGGGUAAGUGAGUGGUGAAAGCGCUCGGCUAAACCGGGCGAGGGCCAUUCAGACUGCCGGUCUAGAGGCGGAUAGAGGGGUGCGGAAUUCCGGGUGUAGCGGUGAAAUGUGUAGAGAUCCGGAGGAACACCAGUGGUGCAAACGGCGCCCUGGGUCCGAACUGACGCUGAGGCACGAAAGCGUGGGGAGCGAACGGGAUUAGAAACCCCCGUAGUCC